GAAAAGAUUCUUGGAUGGGAAAUGUUUUACAGUGGAUUCUAGUAGAACGAAAGUAAUUCCCAACGUAUGCUGUAUCGUUUCAAGGAACACACAUAUUUGGCAAGAUUUCUCUCGGGAUACUUGCGCGUAGGAAAUGAAGCUUGAACGGUUUGCUGGAAAUUGCGAUCAAGUACACAAUCAAUAAUACAUCCUCGCUCCUC